ACUCCUACGGGAGGCAGCAGUGAGGAAUAUUGGACAAUGGGUGAGAGCCUGAUCCAGCCAUCCCGCGUGAAGGACUAAGGCCCUAUGGGUUGUAAACUUCUUUUAUACUGGGAUAAACCUACUUACGUGUAAGUAGCUGAAGGUACAGUAUGAAUAAGCACCGGCUAACUCCGUGCCAGCAGCCGCGGUAAUACGGAGGGGUGCAAGCGUUAUCCGGAUUUAUGGGUUUAAAGGGUCCGUAGGCGGAUCUGUAAGUCAGUGGUGAAAUCUCAUAGCUUAACUAUGAAACUGCCAUUGAUACUGCAGGUCUUGAGUGAGAUUGAGGUAGCUGGAAUAAGUAGUGUAGCGGUGAAAUGCAUAGAUAUUACUUAGAACACCAAUUGCGAAGGCAGGUUACCAAGUCUUAACUGACGCUGAUGGACGAAAGCGUGGGGAGCGAACAGGAUUAGAUACCCUGGUAGGUCAGUC
rnacentral:rRNA from 1 species